CACGUAGGGUGCGAGCGUUGUCCGGAAUUAUUGGGCGUAAAGAGCUCGUAGGCGGUGUGUCGCGUCGGCCGUGAAAACCUGCAGCUUAACUGUGGGCUUGCGGUCGAUACGGGCAUCACUGGAGUUCGGCAGGGGAGACUGGAAUUCCUGGUGUAGCGGUGAAAUGCGCAGAUAUCAGGAGGAACACCGAUGGCGAAGGCAGGUCUCUGGGCCGCAACUGACGCUGAGGAGCGAAAGCCGUGGGGGAGCGAACAGG
rnacentral:rRNA from 1 species